rnacentral:rRNA from 1 species
CCUACGGGAGGCAGCAGUGAGGAAUAUUGGUCAAUGGGCGAGAGCCUGAACCAGCCAAGUCGCGUGAGGGAGUACUGCCCUAUGGGUUGUAAACCUCUUUUGUCGGGGAGCAAAAGCCGGACGUGUCCGGCUUUGAGAGUACCCGUAGAAAAAGCAUCGGCUAACUCCGGUCCAGCAGCCGCGGUAAUACGUAGGGUGCAAGCGUUAUCCGGAUUUACUGGGUGUAAAGGGCGAGUAGGCGGGAUUGCAAGUCAGAUGUGAAAACUAUGGGCUCAACCGAUAGAGUGCAGUUGAAACUGGAGUUCUUGAGUGCUGUAGAGGCAGGCGGAAUUCCCGGUGUAGCGGUGGAAUGCGUAGAUAUCGGGAAGAACACCAGUGGCGAAGGCAGCCUGCUGGACAUUAACUGACGCUGAGGCGCGAAAGCGUGGGGAGCAAACAGGAUUAGAUACCCUUGUAGUC